rnacentral:rRNA from 1 species
CUUAGUGGCGGACGGGUGAGUAACGCGUGGGUAACCUGCCUUGCACUGGGGGAUAACACUUAGAAAUAGGUGCUAAUACCGCAUAAGCGCACGGUCCUGCAUGGGACAGUGUGAAAAACUCCGGUGGUGCAAGAUGGACCCGCGUCUGAUUAGCUGGUUGGCGGGGUAAAGGCCCACCAAGGCGACGAUCAGUAGCCGGCCUGAGAGGGUGGACGGCCACAUUGGGACUGAGACACGGCCCAAACUCCUACGGGAGGCAGCAG